GGGGUACGGGUCCUUGCAGUUUGGAGGCCUCUGGGCAGUGAGUGGCCCCUGAACACCAUUGUGAAGGACAGGUGGGCACUGGAGCUGAGGGGAGGGAAGCAGAGAAGGCUCAUGAUGGAUUCCCCUGCUCAUUUAAAAGCAAACAGCUCUGCCAGGUAGCAUUCGUAAUGGGCCUGAUGGACUGUGAAGGGGGAGCCGCCAUUUUGUUGCUGACAUGAUCAUAAAUACCGGGAACCUUGAGGCAGAAUGCGGAGCUGAGCGUCUGCAGAGAUUGCUGGCCUUGGGACAUCCAGGCGCUGAUUCUUUAGAAUUUCACCAGUAUCCGAUAACGCCGAGCCGGUUGGCUGAGAAAAGGCCACAUCGUCAGCGUGUGGGAUGUGGACAGCAGUCUCCGUGGCCUUCAGUCCGAAGCAGCAACCAUACAGGUAAAUGUGGUCCUUAUCGCUGAGACUGCAGCAGAGGACACCAAGGCACAGAACGCGAUUUCUCUGGGGUCGCUCAUAUGGUGAGUGAGCAGCAGCAUUGAGGCUCUAGAGGCUGCCCCAGGGAAUAACCGUGUUACCCCACCCUCACUGUGCUCGGGAGUUGCAGGCUGGUGGGGAGACAAAUGUAUAAAGGACGAUCACGGCACGUGACAAAUCAUAAUAGCAUCGCAGGCC
rnacentral:lncRNA from 1 species